UGGUAAUGCCGGAUGCUCCAGUUGAUCGCAUGGUCUUCUGGGAAAGCUUUCGCGGUAUGGGAUGGGGUCGCGUCCUAUCAGCUUGACGGCGGGGUAACGGCCCACCGUGGCUUCGACGGGUAGCCGGCCUGAGAGGGCGACCGGCCACAUUGGGACUGAGAUACGGCCCAGACUCCUACGGGAGGCAGCAGUGGGGAAUAUUGCACAAUGGGCGCAAGCCUGAUGCAGCGACGCCGCGUGAGGGAUGGAGGCCUUCGGGUUGUAAACCUCUUUUAUCGGGGAGCAAGCGAGAGUGAGUUUACCCGUUGAAUAAGCACCGGCUAACUACGUGCCAGCAGCCGCGGUAAUACGUAGGGUGCAAGCGUUAUCCGGAAUUAUUGGGCGUAAAGGGCUCGUAGGCGGUUCGUCGCGUCCGGUGUGAAAGUCCAUCGCUUAACGGUGGAUCCGCGCCGGGUACGGGCGGGCUUGAGUGCGGUAGGGGAGACUGGAAUUCCCGGUGUAACGGUGGAAUGUGUAGAUAUCG
rnacentral:rRNA from 3 species